CGCCGGAUCCCAUCAAUUAAACCCAAAACCCUCUCCCCUUCGUCCUCUUUGCACUCCAUGUAAAAGUAUGUAACACUCGCUCUCACUCAGGCUCUCUACUCGCCGCUCAAUUCAACAGACAUGCUGAGGACCCUGUAUCUCCGUCGAUCCUUCCACCACCACCAAACCCUAACCUCAGGCUCCACCGCCAAUGGUGGUUCCGCAGUCAAGUCCACUGGUACUCGUAUCCUUCCUAACUCUAAUCGCACAUUUUGCACAUCCCCCGCACCUUCCUCUUCCACCGAAGCCAAGGUCCGCAAGUACCUCGGAUAUGGGGCCCUUGUGAUAUUCAGUGGCGCUGCUACAUACUAUUGUUUCCCCGAGGACGCUAUGCAGAAGAAGGCCCAGCUGUUCCGCUACGCUCCGAUGCCAGAGGACCUCCACACCGUUUCCAAUUGGAGUGGAACUCACGAGGUCCUAACCCGGGAAUUUCACCAGCCGGAGAAUUUAGUUGAAUUGGAGAAAUUGGUCAAAGAAUCAAAUGAAAAGAAGGCCAAAAUUCGACCGGUUGGGUCCGGACUAUCUCCCAACGGAAUUGGGCUAGCUAAGGCCGGGAUGGUGAAUUUGGCGUUGACGGAUAAGGUUUUGGAGGUGGAUAAGGUGAAGAAGAGGGUGAGAGUGCAGGCAGGGAUCAGGGUGCAGCAGUUGCUUGAUGGGAUUAAGGACUACGGGCUUACAUUGCAAAAUUUUGCAUCCAUUAGAGAGCAGCAGAUUGGAGGCAUUGUUCAGGUCGGUGCACAUGGUACUGGUGCAAGAUUGCCUCCCAUCGAUGAGCAGGUUGUUAGCAUGAAACUGGUGACUCCUGCCAAAGGAACAAUAGAGAUCUCAAAGGAGAAGGAUCCUGAGCUUUUUUAUCUAGCUCGUGUUGGUCUUGGUGGCCUUGGAGUAGUUGCUGAAGUCACCUUACAAUGUGUUGAUAGGCAAGAGCUUGUGGAGCACACAGUUGUUUCAAGCGUGAAAGAGCUAAAGAAGAACCACAAGAAGUUGCUUUCUGAGAACAAGCAUGUGAAAUAUCUUUAUAUUCCCUAUACUGACUCUGUUGUGGUUGUGACGUGCAACCCCAUUUCGAAAUGGAGAGGUCCACCAAAAUUCAAACCCAAAUUUACUGAAGAUGAAGCUCUGGAGCAUGUCCGAGACCUGUACAGAGAGUCUCUCAGAAAAUAUAGGGCUAGAGAAAUUUCUGGUCAACCUUUAGAAAAUAAAGAACCAGAAAUUGAUCAGCUCUCAUUCACAGAGUUAAGAGACAAACUAAUUGCUCUUGAUCCGCUUAACAAAGACCAUAUAAUAAAAAUCAAUCAAGCUGAGGCUGAGUUCUGGAGGAAGUCGGAGGGUUAUAGAGUGGGAUGGAGUGAUGAAAUUUUGGGCUUUGAUUGCGGUGGCCAACAGUGGGUGUCAGAAAUUUGCUUCCCUGCUGGCACCCUUCGGAAGCCAAGUAUGAUGGACCUUGAAUACAUAGAAGAACUGAAGGAGCUCAUUGAGAAAGAAGAUAUACCUGCACCAGCUCCUAUCGAGCAGCGAUGGACUGUUCGCAGCCAGAGCCGUAUGAGCCCUGCUUCCAGCUCAGCAAAGGAUGACAUAUUCUCAUGGGUUGGUAUAAUCAUGUAUCUCCCCACUGUGAAUGCGCGCCAAAGAAAAGAUAUAACAGAAGAAUUCUUCCACUACAGGCAUUUGACCCAGAGUCGAUUGUGGGAUCGGUAUUCUGCCUAUGAACAUUGGGCUAAGAUUGAGGUUCCAAAGGACAAGGAAGAACUUGCUGCACUCCAAGCAAGGCUAAGAAAGCGUUUCCCAGUGGAUGAAUAUAAUAAAGCACGACAGGAAUUGGACCCCAGUAGAAUCCUUUCUAACCCUAUUCUGGAAAAGCUGUUUCCAUUGUCAGAUAACAUUUGAAAGCAUCCUUUAUUGAAGUUCAGCAACAUUCUUCGCAGAGCCAACAGCGGCAUAAGGCAAAGAGGCUGCACAGUUGAGAAAGAAAAAGGGAAACAAUGAAAAUUAGCACUAGGGGGGGAAGAAAGAAUGGUUUGUAAUUGCCUUGUACUUUUUGGUACCCCUUUUUCUGGGUGGGAGGAAUGGCUUUCAAAGCACUAACCGGAUAUUUGGAUUUAGUGUUCCUUUCACUUAUACGUAUGAUAACUGCAAAAACUGAUAAAGGAUUUUUGAGUUAUUGACUUACCGUCCCUCAAUGAAGCCUCUAUCUGCUUUCUUUUUCAUCCGAGGGAAGCACUUCUUUUUACCUGGCGCAUUCUCAGUUGGAUAUCCUUGAAAACAAAAGAAGUACACAUGUUGCCACUGCUACCUUUAGAUAAGCAUCUAAGAUUGUUUAUAAGAUUGAGAGCAAACAGAGGGAUGCUUUGGAUACAUUACUUGCAGAAGUGGAGAAUAAGGAUAUUAUGAUGGAAGCAUGAAAGAGACCUGGAGGAGAUUCUCAAUCUUUGUGAAAACAUCUGGAGGAAUAAAGUUCUAUCUUACAAACAUUGUUAGGUUAGGUUUUUGAGUAGAUUAGAUAUAAUUUAUUUGCAAGUGUAAGGAAUGAUUGGUGAAGGCAGCAUCUGCAAGAUACUCUAGUUGUUGCUUAAUUAGGGUAGUCAAGAAACUAAUAACCCAUUAGUUUUGGGCUGGUUCUAAGUUCUUAGAGAUAUAUGGGCUUGAACCAGGUAAACCAGCCCCACCCACUAUAUAUAGCAGCAAUGUAAGGAUUUCUUCUCAGCCCAAGAUGAGGUUUAUUCACAAAUUCUCCUUACUAGUAUAUAGGACACCAGAUGAUUUUGAUUGUUUCUUAUCAUCUAGCAUGAAAAAUA